rnacentral:rRNA from 1 species
UACGUAGGGUGCGAGCGUUGUCCGGAAUUAUUGGGCGUAAAGAGCUUGUAGGCGGUCUGUCGCGUCUGCUGUGAAAAUCCGGGGCUCAACCCCGGACUUGCGGUGGGUACGGGCAGACUAGAGUGUGGUAGGGGAGACUGGAAUUCCUGGUGUAGCGGUGAAAUGCGCAGAUAUCAGGAGGAACACCGGAUGGCAAGGCGGUGUCUGGGCCAACUGACUCUGAGGAAGCGAAAGCUGGGGGAGCGAACAGG